rnacentral:pre_miRNA from 2 species
GCUGGUAAAAAGGAACCAGAUCGACUGGCAACUGGAUUUGGUCCCCUUCAACCAGCUG